AUACGGAGGGUCCAAGCGUUAUCCGGAAUCAUUGGGUUUAAAGGGUGCGCAGGCGGUUUAUUAAGUCAGUGGUGAAAUCUCGGGGCUCAACUCCGAAACUGCCAUUGAUACUGAUAAACUUGAGUUCAGUUGGAGUAGGCGGAAUGUGUAGUGUAGCGGUGAAAUGCUUAGAUAUUACACAGAACACCGAUAGCGAAGGCAGCUUACUAAACUGAUACUGACGCUGAGGCACGAAAGCGUGGGGAGCGAACAGAAUUAGAUACCCUAGUAGUCC
rnacentral:rRNA from 1 species